rnacentral:rRNA from 1 species
CACACAGCCCAUUAGCACGUGGCUAACCUGCCCUUGAGACGAGAGCACCCCCGGGAAACUGGGGCCAAUUCUCGAUAGGUGAAGAUCCCUGGAAUGGGUUUUCGCCCAAAGGACGUUUAGGUCAUGCUUCUAGACGUUGUUCAAGGAUGGGGCCGCGGCCGAUCAGGUUGUUGGUGAGGUAAUGGCUCACCAAGCCUUUGACCGGUUCGGGCCGUGGGAGCGGUAGCCCGGAGAUGGGCACUGAGACAAGGGCCCAGGCCCUACGGGGCGCAGCAGUCGCGAAAACUUCGCAAUAAGCGAAAGCUUGACAGGGCCAUCCCGAGUGCCAUCUGCUGAGGAUGGCUUUUACCCAGUAUAGAUAGCUGGGGGAAUAAGGAGAGGGCAAGUCUGGUGUCAGCCGCCGCGGUAAUACCAGCUCUCCGAGUUGUGGGGACGUUUAUUGAGCCUGAAGCAUCCGUAGCCGGCUGUGCAAGUCCCCUGUUAAAUCCAGCGACUAAUCGUUGGCCUGCGGGGGAUACUGCUCGGCUAGGGGGCGGGAGAGGCCGUCGGUAUUCUUGGGGUAGGGGUGAAAUCCUAUAAUCCCAGGAGGACCACCAGUGGCGAAGGCUGUCGGCUAGAACGCGCCCGACGGUGAGGGAUGAAAGCUGGGGGAGCGAACC